AGAGUUGUGAGGAAUCAGAGGUGCAUGCGGCUGCCCACGGGAAAAAUUUGCCAUCAGCCCAACACAGUUUGGAUUAUCAUAGGACUGUCAGAGGUUUGCCAAACCUGUCAAAUGCAUGAUGGCUCCUGUUUGGACUUACCGAUGUCCUCGACUUCAAGUAUCCAUCAAAACUGUAUACAUUUGAGAUAUAUUAGAGACUCUUUUUGGGACUGGACAUUAUGCAUCCUAAAUCUUCAUCAAAAUAUGCAAAUCUCCUCACUGAGUUGCCUUGGAUGAUUUCUCAAUAGGAUCUGGGCUCCAGUGUUCAUCCUGUCCUCAAAACUGGAUUCAGAAUGGCUCCAGGUGUUACUUUUUCUCUACAGGAGAUGACUGGAAAACCUGGGAACAGAGUCAGGAAUACUGCUUGAUGUAUGGAGCUCAGCUGACCAACAUCGACAACAUUGAGAAACAGGCAUUCAUCAAUCAGCACACCAAAUAUUAUUUUGACAAAUAUCACGGCUACUGGAUUGGCCUCUCUGAAAAAGCAAACAAAUGGAUUUGGACCACUGGUGCCAUACUUAAUACAACGUUUUGGACUGGAAAUCCCUACCCGGGUUACAAGUACUGUGUUCUCUCAAUGCCCAGCAAUAAUCCA
rnacentral:lncRNA from 1 species